CCUACGGGAGGCUGCAGUGGGCAAUAUUGGACAAUGGGGGGAACCCUGAUCCAGCCAUGCCGCGUGUGUGAAGAAGGCCCUCGGGUUGUAAAGCACUUUCAGUGAGGAAGAACGCCUGGUGGUUAAUACCCAUCAGGAAAGACAUCACUCACAGAAGAAGCACCGGCUAACUCCGUGCCAGCAGCCGCGGUAAUACGGAGGGUGCGAGCGUUAAUCGGAAUUACUGGGCGUAAAGCGCGCGUAGGUGGCUUGAUAAGCCGGUUGUGAAAGCCCCGGGCUCAACCUGGGAACGGCAUCCGGAACUGUCAAGCUAGAGUGAAGGAGAGGAAGGUAGAAUUCCCGGUGUAGCGGUGAAAUGCGUAGAGAUCGGGAGGAAUACCAGUGGCGAAGGCGGCCUUCUGGACUGACACUGACACUGAGGUGCGAAAGCGUGGGUAGCAAACAGGAUUAGAUACCCGAGUAGUC
rnacentral:rRNA from 1 species